AGAGUAAGCAAUUGUCUUACUUCAACCAUUGUAGUAAAAUGCUAUGCUAAUCACUUAAUUAUGCAGAGAAAAUCUCAUAGAAGAAAAUUAGCAUAGACCUUGAAGCUUGUAAAAGAAAGUGUCCAUUCUUAUAUAUAUCCUUUCAAGUGAUAUUCUAGUAGAUACAAGUGGUUUGGCACCUAUCUGGGCAGCGAAGCUGCCAAUUCUAG
rnacentral:misc_RNA from 1 species